rnacentral:rRNA from 1 species
ACAACCUAGGGACGCAGCAGUGAGGAAUAUUGGUCAAUGGGCGGGAGCCUGAACCAGCCAAGCCGCGUGAGGGAAGAAGGUACAGCGUAUCGUAAACCUCUUUUGUCAGGGAACAAAGGCGGGGACUAGUCCCCGGAUGAGGGUACCUGAAGAAAAAGCAUCGGCUAACUCCGUGCCAGCAGCCGCGGUAAUACGGAGGAUGCGAGCGUUAUCCGGAUUUAUUGGGUUUAAAGGGUGCGCAGGCGGCCUGUUAAGUCAGCGGUAAAAGCCCGGGGCUCAACCCCGGCGAGCCGGUGCAACUGGCG